CAUGAACCUAGUAUUACUGUUUCUAGCCAUUAUAGCUGUACUUCCGAAAGGCUACGAUUUUCAACCCGGUCCAACUGCAAAAAUUGUACCGUUUUGUUGCAAAUUUGGUUGCUCUAAUGCCAACUGCAAUAAGUGAUUGAAUUACGAUGAAGAAUUCUUUCGAAACAAAUGAUGUGCGUUUUAAUUUAUUUAAAUAAAAUUAUGUUAUUUGCCUAACAACAAUUGCAA